UGAUUCUAAGGAAGGGAUGAUGUUCCAAUCGACACUCAAGAAAAGGAUUCUGAGCCUCAGAGCUUUGAAGAAGCCACUUGAUCACUGACCUUCCUUGAGGCAAA
ensembl:snoRNA SNORD124 small nucleolar RNA, C/D box 124